rnacentral:rRNA from 1 species
UACGGGGGGGCAAGCGUUGUUCGGAAUUACUGGGCGUAAGGGCGCGUAGGCGGCCCUCUAAGUCAGACGUGAAAUCCACGCUUAACCGUGAACUGCGUCUGAUACUGGCGACCUUGAGUCCGGGAGAGGUGAGUGGAACUGCGAGUGUAGAGGUGAAAUUCGUAGAUAUUCGCAAGAACACCAGUGGCGAAGGCGGCUCACUGGCCCGGUACUGACGCUGAGGUGCGAAACGUGGGGAGCAAACAGGG